GCAAACUUGGUCAUUUAGAGGAAGUAAAAGUCGUAACAAGGUUUCCGUAGGUGAACCUGCGGAAGGAUCAUUACCGAACCGUCAAACACGGGCUGUCGCUGGCCUUCCGAGCGGGGGGCACGUGCACGCUCUGUUUACGCAUCCACUCACACCUGUGCACCCUCCGUAGUUCUGUGGUUCGGGAGACCCCGUCUCCCUUCCGUGGCUCUACGUUUUUACACACACGCCGUAGCCAAGUCUCAUGGAAUGUUUUUCUGCGUUUAACGCGACACAAUAUACAACUUUCAGCAACGGAUCUCUUGGCUCUCGCAUCGAUGAAGAACGCAGC
rnacentral:misc_RNA from 1 species